ACUGAAGGUGAGGGCUUAGGGUUUGUUUUUGUUUUCAAUUCUGUGCUUUGAUUCUUAUCCUGCCGUGAGCAGCACUUGGGUGUGGGAUGGCUAAUUUAGUGUAUAGGGUUUGGUGGACAGCGGCUUCACCAACUUCUGAUUCUCGCUGUCAUCAUCGAAGAAGAGCAACUUGAUCAGGGCAGUAGGUUGUUACGUCUGGCCAGUAGGUUUGAUUUGGGGCUGUUGGAACUUGUCGUGGCAAUCUUGCUUUGGUUGAGGGCAUCAAGGAAGAGCCACUCACCUUGUUCCAGCAGAAAACACAUUCCUUGAUUAUGGAUU